AUUGAACGCUGGCGGAAUGCUUUACACAUGCAAGUCGAACGGUAACAGGUUAAGCUGACGAGUGGCGAACGGGUGAGUAAUACAUCGGAGCGUGCCCAGUCGUGGGGGAUAACGUAGAGAAAUUUACGCUAAUACCGCAUACGAUCUAAGGAUGAAAGCGGGGGACCGUAAGGCCUCGCGCGAUUGGAGCGGCCGAUGUCAGAUUAGGUAGUUGGUGGGGUAAAGGCCUACCAAGCCGACGAUCUGUAGCUGGUCUGAGAGGACGACCAGCCACACUGGGACUGAGGCACGGCCCAGACUCCUACGGGAGGCAGCAGUGGGGAAUUUUGGACAAUGGGCGCAAGCCUGAUCCAGCCAUUCCGCGUGCAGGAUGAAGGCCCUCGGGUUGUAAACUGCUUUUGUACAGAACGAAAAGGUCUGGGUUAAUACCCUGGGCUCAUGACGGUACUGUAAGAAUAAGCACCGGCUAACUACGUGCCAGCAGCCGCCGUAA
rnacentral:rRNA from 1 species